GUGGAGCGACGAACCAGGGCUUGCCCUGGGGCAGAGCCGCGAACGGGUGAGUAACACGUGGGUAACCUACCCCGAAGAUUGGGACAACCCGGGGAAACCCGGGCUAAUACCAAAUGUGAUCUCUCUUCAUAAGUAGAGCGAUCAAAGGGAGCUUCGGCCCCCGCUUUGGGAGGGGCCCGCGGCCCAUUAGCUUGUUGGUGAGGUAACGGCUCACCAAGGCUUCUAUGGGUAGCUGGUCUGAGAGGACGAUCAGCCACACUGGGACUGAGACACGGCCCAGACUCCUACGGGAGGCAGCAGUGGGGAAUCUUGCGCAAUGGGCGACAGCCUGACGCAGCAACGCCGCGUGGGGGAAGAAGGCCUUCGGGUUGUAAACCUCUUUCAGGUGGGACGAAGCUUCGCCGGUGAAUAGCCGUGCGGAGUGACGGUACCGCCACAAGCAGCCCCGGCUAACUACGUGCCAGCAGCCGCGGUAACACGUAGGGGGCAAGCGUUGUCCGGAAUCAUUGGGCGUAAAGCGCGCGUAGGCGGCCAGAUAAGUCCGGUGUGAAAGUCAAAGGCUCAACCUUUGAAUGCCGCUGGAAACUGUCUGGCUAGAGUCCGGAAGGGGCGAGUGGAACUCCUGGUGUAGCGGUGAAAUGCGCAGAUAUCAGGAAGAACACCUAUGGCGAAGGCAGCUCGCUGGGACGGUACUGACGCUAAGGCGCGAAAGCGUGGGGAGCAAACAGGAUUAGAUACCCUGGUAGUCCACGCCGUAAACGAUGGGCACUAGGUGUGGGAGGUAUCGACUCCUCCCGUGCCGAAGCUAACGCAUUAAGUGCCCCGCCUGGGGAGUACGGCCGCAAGGCUAAAACUCAAGGAAUUGACGGGGACCCGCACAGCAGCGGAGCAUGUGGUUCAAUUCGACGCACGCGAAGAACCUUACCUGGGCUUGACAUGUGAGUGACCGCCGUGGAAACACGGC
rnacentral:rRNA from 1 species